GAGAGACACGGUGCUCAUGGAGAAUGUAAACGAACCGGGUGGCGUGCACCGUAUUAGAAAGAUAGGAGUCGUAGAAUUUUGGUCAUAAUUUGAAAUUGCCAUAUUAGCGGAACGCUGUAAAGUGGGGCUCUAUUGUAUUGCACUUGCUCUCCAUUUUGAAUCCACCACCACACAGGUUAGGUUAGGUUAGGUAAGGUUCGUCAGGAAACAGGACAAAUGUUUCCCGCCUUUGGAGCUUUGGUCAUCUGACCGAGGCCUUCCGCUGGCUUACCGGUCCACCCCUUUAAAAAUUAUGGUCAUUUAUAACCAUUGUUGAUAAUUAUAAUUACCACCACACAGAAAACUGAAAUUUCUCCCCAAUUCACAGAUGAAUAAAAUACGGCACAACCAAGAAUGACUGACCACGGCACGGGCAGGGAUUGAACUUGCCGCUUGUGAGAGUUCAAUGCCCACCUGUAUCGUAGUAUGUUUGCAAAUGUGUCAUUAUGAUUUCAUAAGUCAAGAAUAACUAAAGGGAGGGGCGAGCUUUUUUUCAGUGAUCAGGAAAUUAAGAUUGAAAAGUUAUGGAAAAAAUGUUUUCUUACUGAAAAAUAGUGCAUAAUUCUGGCAACAUAUUGAUGUUAUCAGAUUGUUUCUGUCAUAUUUCUAAGUAUGUUUUUCAUUAAAUGUAAUUUUUUUGUUCAUGCUGGCAGCAAAAAUACAUGUUGGUAAUUAGUGUUUUUUUUUCUUUCAAAAUUACGAUUUAUAUGAUUAUUUCAUUCUAAAUUCUCUACUUGGCAAUUUUUGUGCUGGCUGAAGUGUGGAGUGUGGCAGGUGUGUCCCUCAGUAGCCGGCAGGCUGUCAAGAGAGAGUGAGGUAUGUUCAGAUUUGGCACGCCACAACCACAAUUUCACGCCACACAAAAAUAAAAAAAAAUCAGAAAUAAGUUAUUGCCAUUGUGAUACAUAUUUUGAGAUAAAUAUUAAUAGGAUUGUCAUGAUUUUUGCACGUGUUAUUGGGGAAUGAUGGUUCUACAACACUCAGGGAAGAUGGUGUGAAGUUAAUGAGGAGAAUCAAAUCGGUCGAGGAUCAGGCAGGAUUGCAAAGAGACCUGGACAGGCUACAAGCCUGGUCCAGCAAGUGGCUAUGACUCGAUCCCUGCAACCACAAAUAGAUGAUGUGAAGUUAAUGAGGAGAAAUAAAUCAGAUGAGGAUCAAGUUGGACUUCAAAGAGACCUGGACAGACUGGACACCUGGUCCAGCAACUGGCUUCUCGAAUUUAACCCCGCCAAAUGCAGAGUCAUGAAGAUCGGUUAAGGGCACAGAAGACCGCAGAUGGAGUAUAGGCUAGGUGGCCAAAGAUUGCAAACCUCGCUCAAGGAGUUGAGUAAAACACCGAGCACGUCUCCGGAAGCACACUUCAACCAUAUGUGUUGCUGUGUGAGAUCCAGGAAAUGGCAUCAACUCAAGGAUAAUAGUUUUCUGAACAGUCUUUGGUGAGGCAAUGCCCAGUCAAACUUAUAAAGGUAUGUACAGUGUGUGUGAAUAUAUGUAUGUAAGUAGCCUUAGCAAUAAUGAGGUAUAGUGAGUGUGUUCACAUAUUUGUGGUUGCAGGGGAUGAUUCACGGCUUCUGACUCUGCCUCUUUGUUGGUCACUAAUAGAUCCACUCUCUCCCUGCUCAAUGAGCUUUAUCGUAUCUCUUGUUGAAGAUAUGUAUGGAUUCUGCCUCCACUACAUUUCUCCAGAUUGUUCCACUUCCUGCCAACUCUAUGAAUGAAGAAGUACUUCCUAACAUCCCUGUGGCUCAUCUACUUGAGUUUCUAAGUUCCAGUUGUGACCCCUUGUUGCUGUGUCCAAUCUCGGAAACAUUCUUUCCUUAUCCACCUUGUCAGUUCCUCUCCUCUUAAGCAUUGAUAAAGUAUAGUGUUAAUUUCACUAUUUUUAACCCCAUGUGUAAUAUUAAUAUUAAAAGUAUCGCCUGGUAUUAGCAAAUUGUUCACCAGUUGUGAUAACCAUAGCAAUAAAAAUAGCCAAAACCCAUUGGUACUUUGGUACACCUGCAAUGCAAGGAAAGUUUUGUUACAUCCAUGGGGUGAUAAACAUACCAAGUAUAUGGAAUAUUGAAAUGCACAUACAGUGGAACCUCUGUUUUUGUGAUUAAUCCAUUAUAUAGGAAACAAUGAGAAAUAAAUAUAAAAGACUAAUGAAUGGAUAAAUGAACAUUUAACAUCACUUUUACCGUUAUUGAAGACUCUUGUUGGCGUAUGCAAGACGGCGAGGAGGCGAAAGGGAAGAGAGGUUAUUGUUUGGAAGGGGAAUCCCCUUCCAAAGUGACUCAGAUCCAGAGCCAGCUGAUUCGAAUUGCUUGACAGUGGUGAUGAAUACUUGCCACUGGAUGCGCAGGUGUCAAAUGAUGAUGAGGAAGAUAGGCCAUCCAAAAAGCCUAAAUUAGCUCAGUGAAUGCCAAGAUAUUUACAUGCAAGCACUGCAGCACUAAGAAAAAUCCUGUCACAUCCUCAUUUUCCUGUGUCGUAUGCAAAGCAAAUCUAUGCAUCAAGAAGGGAAGAAAUUGCUUCAUAGCCUUUUAUUCUAGCAAAUAGUCAUCUAGAAUGAUUGUUCUUUCUCAGGAAUUCAUGAAAAAGGGACUUGCAAGUUUUAUCCCUUUGCAAAGUGUCCAUGUUACUCUUUGGUUCAUCUUUAUAUUUUUUGUACACUUAAAAAAUGUUUGGAAACAAGUUUCAUUUGUUUCUCAUAAUGUCUAUUUGUAUAUAAAUUUGAAAAAUACUUAUUUGGUGUUUUAUUAACAAUUGCAACUUGGCAACAUUCAAAAAUUUUCACCAUUUACCGGGCGGGUCUGUAUAUUUGUUGGCGUCGAAUAUUUGUAACUGAACAAAAACUUAUUUUUAGAAAUUCAUUUAUAUAGGCUCAUUUUCCUUACAUUUGAUACUCUAUCAACUCAUAGGAAAGACAUUUCGAAUUUCACAUUUUCCUAGGCAUGACCAGUAAAGGGUUAAUCACUGAAGAAGGCAUAUUCUCACCUCUCUCUUCCUCUUCCUCUGAAGCAAUUUCCUCAGCUGCAGUCUGUUGCUGUUCCAGUUGAAGGUCUUGCAGCUCUUCAGUGGUUAGCUGUUCCCUGUGGUCGUCCACCAACUCUUCCAUAUCCUGGCCACUUACAUCCAAUCCCAUGGACUUCCCCAAAGACAUAAUAGAUUCCCCAAUAGAUUCCCUUCAAAAUCCUUCCCAAGGACACAUUCUGGCCACAAUUUUCUCCAAGCAGAGUUCAUUGUCCUGGAAGUCACUCCCUCCCAAGCCUUAUCUAUAAGGCUUUUGCAACUGAGGAUAUUGAAGUGAUUCCUCCAGUACUCUCUCAGGGUCAGUUCAGUGUCCGAGGUCACUUCAAAGCACCUUUGAAACAGUGAUUUGGUGCAGAGUUUUUAGAAGUUUGAAAUGACUUGCUGGUCCAUGGGCUGGAUGAGAGGAGUGAUAUUAGGGGGCAAGAACUUCACUGUGAUGAAACUAAACUCCUCCAAUAAUUGGUCUUCCAAGUUUGGAAGAUGAGCAGGAGCACUGUCCAUUACCAGGAGGCACUUGAGUGGCAACUGAUUUUCCAGGCGGUAUUUCUUCACACUCUGGCCAAACACUUCAUUGACCCACUCAAUGAAAAUUUUCCUCAUGACCCAUGCCUUAUUGUUACCCUUCCACAUCACACACAAUUUACUCUUGAUGACAUUGUUUUUCUUGAACACUCGGUGAUUUUCAGAGUGAUACACCACUAGCCUUCUCACAGAACAAAGAAGUUAGCCUAUCCUUCAUAGGAUUGUGUCCUGGCAUUCCAAAAGAGGCGUGUUUCGUCACAACUGAAGACUUGUUAGGGGAGGAAUUCUUCAGCCAAUACGCACUCCUUGAAUUCAUCAACGAAUUCUUCGGCCCAACAUUUGUCCGAACUUGCAGCCUCACCACGCCUUACCACACUGUGUAUGCUAGUUCACUUCUUGAAUUUGUUGAACUAGCUUCUGCUGGCCUUAAAUUCACUAACAUCAGCACUCGGUCCAGGCAUUUUCUUUGUGAGAACCUCAUGCCUUGCCUUUUCGUAAAUUGUCGCCUCCAAAACACUCUCCCACUAACUGUUUUUCGUUGAUCCACACACAUUUACCCCUUUCACAACAUCAGCUUCCUUGAUUUCUUUUUUCUUCACCAGGAUGGAACUGAUUUCCCAUUGAUGCAGACUUCCCAUGCAUUCUGGCGAGAUCAGGCAUGUGUACGCCAUUAUAAUACUUUGCUACGAUUGUAGAUCAAUGGUUCAACUUUGCUACGAGUUCUUUCUUAAAUUCUAUCAUGUUUCUCGCCUUCUUUAUCAAAGAGAUGGCACUCAGAACAUUUUUUGGCCCCAUGGUGGCUUAUUUAGCAGUUGCAUGAAUGCAGGGGAGGGGGGUGAUGCUCACUCAAAGAGAAACAAAGGCAGACUAAGACACAAAUGCAUGGGAUACUUUGUGUGGGCGCUUGAGUGGCCGAGUCACGUGGAGGCAUUUCGUACAGACCAUUUUCAACUCUACGAAAAGUGAGUGAAUGUACAAAAACUGGGACAAAAUUUUGAUGAAAAAAGUCAUCGAAAACCGAAUCCUACGAAAACUGGAGCAUACGAAAACCGAGGUUCCACCAUAUUUAUUUUAAUCAGGAGGAAGCACUAAACUCAUAUGGGUCAUAUAGAGCCUGGAGAAUGGGAGGCAUUUGGGUUCAGUCAAGUUCCUUGGAUCAAGAGCCCCAUGCUUAUCCGUAUCAAGGGACUUCCCUUGAAAAGACAAGUAUUAAUAAUAUGGUGAAUAAGAGAA